GAUGAACGCUAGCGGCAGGCCUAAUACAUGCAAGUCGAACGCUCAGUAGCAAUACUGGGAGUGGCGCACGGGUGCGUAGCGCGUACACAAUCUACCUCUAAGCGGGGGACACCUCCUGGAAACGGGGAUUAAUACCGCAUAAUAUGCCGAAGUCGCAUGACUUUGGUAUUAAAGCAGCAAUGCACUUAGAGAUGAGUGUGCGUCCCAUUAGGUAGUUGGUGAGGUAACGGCUCACCAAGCCUAUGAUGGGUAGCCGGUCUGAGAGGAUGGUCGGCCACACGGGCACUGAGACACGGGCCCGACUCCUACGGGAGGCAGCAGUAAGGAAUAUUGGUCAAUGGUGGAAACACUGAACCAGCCAUGCCGCGUGGAGGAAUAAGGUCCUACGGAUUGUAAACUCCUUUUGACGAGGAAGAAAAUAGUUAGAUUUAUCUAAUUUUGACGGUACUCGUAGAAUAAGCACCGGCUAAACUCCGUGCCAGCAGCCGCGGUAAU
rnacentral:rRNA from 1 species